GCCAUGUGUUGUUCGUAGGAAUGUAGGAUCGUGGCUCUAUCUAUUCACAUGAUCCAUCAAGACAAAAUUGGUCAUAUUCAUUGAUACAUCCUAUUGUUUCCCAUAAAGUAUAUAUGAUAUUUUUCAGUCAAAUCGAGAUGUUUACUAGAUAUAACAAAUACUGCCGCAGAAUGAAAAUGGAAUCAUGUAAGCUGUUCAUCGGUCGGCUCUCUUGGAAUACUUACUGAAGAUCGAGAGUACUUUCAGAGUUUCAGUAAGGUUUCAGAUGUGAUGCUCAUGAAGGAUCGAGCCACUGGCUGUGGUCAUGGUUUUUUUUAUCUUCGCUGAUCCCAGUGUUGCUUAGAGUCUUAUUGCUCCUAUACGUAAUUGAUGUUAAAUUGUAAGAAGUAUAUGAUAUGGGAAGGAGAAGCAGAUUGAAGCAGUUAUUAUUAAGGAAGACACUGAUCCUCAACUAAUAAUUCCUACAAGAACAUGAGAGGUGGAUCGGCAUGAAAAAGGAUUUGCAGGUCCAGAGCGAAUUCAGAAGCUCGUGAAAAAAUAUUAUCAGUUUGUUUUGUUCCCUAUAUACAUGUGGCAGGUAAAAGGAUACACAAAACAGGUAUGAUCAACAUGAUGACAUAUAUCUGAACUUAAUCAUGGCGUAAAUGCCCCAGUGCUCUGCCUGCAAGGGAAAAAUGUUCUAUGUAGUUGCGUUACAUGUCAGAAAACAUCUAAGAUUCUUAUUUGGAUGUUUGGUUCUCUCUAAUACAGGUUGAAGUUGAUGAUGAUUCAGCUUUGCCAAAAAAAUGAGAUGAGCAGAAUGACCAAACUGAGAGAAUAGCUAGAUGUUCAAGGAUCAUUGGCUCACGACUUUUUAACGUGUAACCGAGAAAAAAGAAGACCAAGAAGGUCAUUGAGAAAUACUGGAAGUGGGAGCUUACUAAUGAGACGCAACCAAUUUGGCUCCAGAACUCUAAAGAGGUGACAACAAUGGAGUACAAUGAGUUUUACAGAAUAACUUUCAAGAAGUAUUUGAACCCAUUGGCAUCACCCCACUUCACAACAGAGGCACGUUGGAAAAAGACAUCUGUUGGAAUAGUAUAUAAUAUCCAUGAAACAAUCCAACCAGCGUGAGGUCGAGUUUAGAUCCAUGGGGAAGGAUGAUGUGGUUAGUUAAAAGACAAAGAACAUAAGUCUAUGUAAAACGAUUUUUCAAAGCUAUUUUGACGGGAAGCUGGUGAGAGAAGUAUCUCUUGGUGUGGCCUUUCAAGAGAUUUGUUUUUCUAUUUUGUAUUGCUAUCCGCUUUUGUGGUGCUUUGUGAACAGAUUCCUCAGUAUUUGAGCUUUAUCGAGGGUGUUUUUGGACUCACAUGAUCUCCCAUUAACGUGUAACAUGAGAUUCUUCAAGAAAGUCACACUGUAAAUGUUAAUAUCGAUUUUAUAUGUGAAGCCUUCAUGAUAUUUGUUAUGUUCUUUUUUUGAAAUGCCAUAUUCUUAAGCUUACAAUUUUGUAUUAUGUCUCAAAGGUGCGGAUCAUGAAGAAACGUCUG